GAUUCCGUGGUGUAGUGGUUAACACGUCUGCUUGCAAAGCAAAGAAGAUCGCCAGUUCGAAUCUGGCCGGAAUCG
rfam:Pediculus humanus corporis strain TSDA 1103172080892, whole genome shotgun sequence.